CGAUAACUGGGGUGAAGUCGUAACAAGGUAGCCGUAUCGGAAGGUGCGGCUGGAUCACCUCCUUUCUAAGG
rnacentral:rRNA from 1 species